ensembl:snoRNA
CUCCCCCUACUCAUUUUGUGAAUUGGACUUAGGUCUUUACCAGUCAUUCAAGUAGGGCAAAAGAAACAUUCUUUUAAAGUCAGGCAAGCUGGGUGUUUGUCCAGAGGAAAGAGGUGGAGGAAACACAA